ACUUCCGGAGGCGGCGCCAACAGUAAUGGCGAUCUCCUCAUAACUCUCGAGGAGAGGCUCCGCGAAAACUGGGUCGAUCCGCUACGGCGCAGCGGAGACCCUUCCGAAACCCGCAGGCGGAGGAAGCCUGCGGUCGUGGGACUCGGCGGGUGCCUGGAGCGCGCCCCUAAACAGCGCAGGAACCCCGUAAGGGGCUCCGAAGCAGGACGGGGGCGGCGCGGCACUGUGAGUCGUCUGCUACUUUCGCGGAGUGAAGCCGUGCAGCUGUUGCUGGAGAGCGCUGACCUUUCUUCCUUGACAAUUCGGCUGUCAAAGUACAACCCGUGAGUAGGUUUCACGCUAUAAGGAUUAACAAAAGUUCUGAACUAAUUUGGCUGAAGCGGGAACGGUGUAAAAAGGAAGUCCACCUCCCGGUCUGUAUAAAGAAUAAAGCAAAGACUGUGCGAGAUCGAUACCAAUGACUGCCAAAAGAGACUGAAACACAGACUUCUAAUUUAAAAUUUUCCCUCCCACAAUUGGAUUAGGGGGGGGAAGAAGAGAUAGUAUUUCUUGUUAUUCUCUGUUAUUUUUGAGUAAUUUAAAGAGCAAAUAAGGAAAUAAAAGACCACCUCUCAAUCCCUGGGGACAGACUGCCAGGUUUUGGAAAGAUUGGACACUUUGUUAGCACUCUAAAUGGACAAUGUAUCUUUUUGCCUUUUAACUUUACAAAAUUGAAACUUUGGGAAAAAGUUUGGGAAAAAGUUGCCUCUUUGGCUGUUUGAGAGUUUUCAUUCUUGAUACUUUAUUACUUGUGUCCCCCUGGAGGCCAAAGGGGAAAAAGUUUCUAAUUGACUGAGGAAUUUUCCACCUAACAGCAGCCUGGGAAAGUAUAAUAACAAAACAAUUUUGACUGUGAGAGCGACCUUGACUUUUAGAUAAAGUGCCAUGGAAGGAAGAGAUCUGAGGUCUGGGAAAGGCAGGCAGCAGAGCAACAUCCCACAACAGCAACAGCGUAGGCAAUCCAUCGCUGGACCACAAGGAGAGGAAGAAGGAUUGGCCAGUUUAUUUAAAAUUGUGAACGAAGGUUUUGAAAAAUUGGGUCAACAAAAUGCCGAGGCUCUAGAAGCCAUUAGACAAAAUUCUGCAAGUAUUGACAAGUUGACCCGACAGACUAAUGAAAAUACAGAUGUGAUUAAAAAACUACUGGAACAAUCUGCUGAAACUCAAAAACAGCUUUGGAAGCCAGAGAAAAGGCGGUAGCUGCUGAAGAAAAACUACCACCUUUAAUUAAACAAGUUCAAGAGCACCACAUAAGAUUGGGAACGCACCAGGAAUUGUUAUCUCUUCUUGAGUUAAAGGAGAAACAGACCAACUUAAGGAUCAGAGCAGUACCUGAGAUUGAAAAAGAGAGCCUGGCAGACUUUCUGACGCAAGAAUUUGCCAACUUUUGGCAAUUGAAUGAUAAGGAAGAUUUCAAGAUAACGUCUGCUUUUAGGCUCGGAAGAAGAGCAAGGAAAAAUAGAGUGAGAGACUGCCUGAUUACCCUGCGAUCAAAAGAGGAACGAGAUAAAAUUUUGAGCUUACAUUAUCAAAAUACACUGACAAUACAAGACUCAAGGAUAGAAAUAUUUAAAGACAUUCCAAAGCUUCUUUUGGAGCUUAGGUCUAACUAUCGAGACCUGGUGACGUUGCUGAGAGGAAACAGAAUUUUUUCAGGUGGGAGUUCCCUCAAGGCCUAUCUUUCAGUUUUAGAGGC
rnacentral:lncRNA from 1 species